AAGACUAUACUUUCAGGGAUCAUUUCUAUCGUAUGUUACUAGAGAGGUUUCUCUGAUUGUGUAGAGUACCGGAAACCAAAAGAAGUUGAGAGAAGAUGGU
rnacentral:snoRNA from 1 species